rnacentral:rRNA from 1 species
AGUGGCGGACGGGUGAGUAACACGUAAGAAUUUGCCUUUAGGAGGGGGACAACAGCUGGAAACGGCUGCUAAUACCCCAUAUGCUUUCGAGUGAAAUGGAUUUCCGCCUGAAGAGAAGCUUGCGGCUGAUUAGCUUGUUGGUGAGGUAAUGGCUCACCAAGGCGACGAUCAGUAUCUGGUUUGAGAGGACGAUCAGACACACUGGAACUGAGACACGGUCCAGACUCCUACGGGAGGCAGCAGUGGGGAAUUUUCCGCAAUGGGCGAAAGCCUGACGGAGCAAUACCGCGUGAGGGAUGAAGGCCUAUGGGUUGUAAACCUCUUUUUUCAGGGAGGAACAAAAUGACGUGUACCUGAAGAAUAAGCAUCGGCUAACUCCGUGCCAGCAGCCGCGGUAAGACGGGGGAUGCAAGUGUUAUCCGGAAUCACUGGGCGUAAAGCGUCUGUAGGUGGUUAAGUAAGUCAACUUGUUAAACCUUGAGGCUCAACCUCAAAAUCGCAGUCGAAACUGCUUGACUAGAGUAUAGUAGGGGUAAAGGGAAUUUCCAGUGGAGCGGUGAAAUGCGUAGAUAUUGGAAAGAACACCGAUGGCGAAGGCACUUUACUGGGCUAUUACUAACACUGAGAGACGAAAGCUAGGGUAGCAAAUGGGAUUAGAUACCCCAGUAGUCCUAGCUGUAAACAAUGGAUACUAGAUGUU